rnacentral:rRNA from 1 species
UGCAAGUCGAGCGGAUGAGAGGAGCUUGCUCCUUGAUUUAGCGGCGGACGGGUGAGUAAUGCCUAGGAAUCUGCCUGGUAGUGGGGGAUAACGUUCCGAAAGGAACGCUAAUACCGCAUACGUCCUACGGGAGAAAGCAGGGGACCUUCGGGCCUUGCGCUAUCAGAUGAGCCUAGGUCGGAUUAGCUAGUUGGUGAGGUAAUGGCUCACCAAGGCGACGAUCCGUAACUGGUCUGAGAGGAUGAUCAGUCACACUGGAACUGAGACACGGUCCAGACUCCUACGGGAGGCAGCAGUGGGGAAUAUUGGACAAUGGGCGAAAGCCUGAUCCAGCCAUGCCGCGUGUGUGAAGAAGGUCUUCGGAUUGUAAAGCACUUUAAGUUGGGAGGAAGGGCAUUAACCUAAUACGUUAGUGUUUUGACGUUACCGACAGAAUAAGCACCGGCUAACUUCGUGCCAGCAGCCGCGGUAAUACGAAGGGUGCAAGCGUUAAUCGGAAUUACUGGGCGUAAAGCGCGCGUAGGUGGUUCGUUAAGUUGGAUGUGAAAGCCCCGGGCUCAACCUGGGAACUGCAUCCAAAACUGGCGAGCUAGAGUACGGUAGAGGGUGGUGGAAUUUCCUGUGUAGCGGUGAAAUGCGUAGAUAUAGGAAGGAACACCAGUGGCGAAGGCGACCACCUGGACUGAUACUGACACUGAGGUGCGAAAGCGUGGGGAGCAAACAGGAUUAGAUACCCUGGUAGUCCACGCCGUAAACGAUGUCAACUAGCCGUUGGGUUCCUUGAGAACUUAGUGGCGCAGCUAACGCAUUAAGUUGACCGCCUGGGGAGUACGGCCGCAAGGUUAAAACUCAAUGAAUUGACGGGG